rnacentral:rRNA from 1 species
AGAAUCAACGCUGGCGGCGUGCCUAACACAUGCAAGUCGAACGCGAGAGGGCUUCGGCCCCAAUUGAGUGGCGAACGGGUGAGUAACGCGUGGGUGACCUACCUUCGAGUGGGGGAUAACGUCCCGAAAGGGACGCUAAUACCGCAUAACAUCCUCUUUUUGAACAGAGGAGAUCAAAGCCGGGGAUCGCAAGACCUGGCGCUUGAUGAGGGCCCGCGUCUGAUUAGCUAGUUGGUGGGGUAAUGGCUCACCAAGGCGACGAUCAGUA